GCCCGCGUUGUCUAAUGGUUAUGACGUCAGACUUCUACUGGGCGUUGUAGAUCUGGAGGUUGCGGGUUCGAGUCCCGCCGUGGGUU